rnacentral:lncRNA from 1 species
GAAAUAAACAGAAUAGAUAUCCCCUAGCACACUGCAAACCAAAGUGGUUACUUCAGAGUAGAAGGUGUCACAUGUACAAAGAUGUGUAGUUUUAAGCACAAAGAAUGGUUGCCUAGUGAUGGACAGAAUAAAGAGAUAUAAAUGCAAAAGGACUCUGCCUUCUGUGUUAUUACUGCUGUAGCUUUUCUCCCACUCAAACACUCACUUCCUGGGACUCAAAGAAAGUGCAGCUGAAUUCGAUGGCUUUUAGCUGGGGACUGGCUAGAUCAGUGGAAAUCACAACCAAGUUCUCCCACUGCCUUUCUAUCCAACAGCACUGUGGAUCACCCGCAGACAAGGAUGGAAUCACCAAAAAGUAUAAUCAUUAGGUCACUAGAUGUGCACGUUGGCAAUUUUCGAAAAUAUUGCCAGAGAGAUUGAAAUAAUUCACCACUGCCCCUCCUCCAGCUUCUCCUGGGCAUGCCACAUACACUGUGGGAAGGGGAAAGGCUGACCUAGAACACCUUCAAGUGGAUGCUACAUAGGAAGCUGGUUGGGACUGAAUCUGGGCAGAAUGGCUGUCGCACUUGCUUUGAAGUUACGAGCACAGCAGUACCAGAACAAUCAGCAGGCAUCUCCGAAAGUUUCCAGGGCAGGGAACCCACCAGGGCAGAGCCUCAGCUCUCAGCCUCCCGGAAUGAACCAUGAACCCAAAGCAAAGAGCAGAACUCCUUUGACACCUCCAGCUUCACAGACAAAGAUGAAUCUCCUAAGGCAUUUCUGAAACAUGCAGUUCUGAAGUCUGGCCAGCCACACCAAAGAGCUUUUCGCAAGAAGGCACAGGCCAGGUAGAGGCAGCUGUGCAGUGGGAGGACUGUGAUGUUUUGGACUAGAAAAUAAGACGCAAAUGAGGCCAAAAAAACACAGGCACUGCAUAAAGGUGUCUUCUCCCCACUUUAUAAGCCUUAUGUGUGAUAAUAUUCAAUGCCACAGCAAGGCAAGCAAAUAGGUCCUUGGAGGGAGGGAUAGCUGGAUUUUAAUCCUGGCUCUACACUAAGGUCUUGGACUACUUACUGCAGGUCUCUGAGCUUCAUAGUUUUAUGUAUAAAAUAGGAUGAAGACCAUCCCCAAAUCCACUUCGAUGGUGAGAAUUAGGUGACAUGACAGCAGAAGGGCAUUUAGAGUUUGGCACAGAAGGGAUCUCAACAAAUGGUAGCUGUGUUUCAUCGUUCAUUUGAGAACUGAUGUUUGGAUCCUUUUCUGCAUCUUGAAAUGUCCCAAAAUAUUCCUCCUUAAGCCCUGCAGUUGGAUACUCAUUGAUACUUCUCUGUUCAAUUUAUACUGCGAGCAGGGGAGGGAGGCUUGAGCUUGGUUCCAUGAACGAGGUUGAAGGGUGUAAGUCUCCCAGCUUCAUUUCUGUCUCCUCCUCACCUGGGGAGCCAUGGCCAAUUCUCUUCCCAGGUCACUUGACUUCUCCAUGACCAUGACUUUCACCUUCUGCAUUUUGGAACAAUAUACUCAUGAAUGCUAAGAAGCUUUUGUUUCUUUCUGCCUGUGCUGAGCCUGUCUACUAUAAAAGAAAAAUCACAAUGGUUGUCAUAGUUAUGCUCUUUGCUUCCUGAGUGGAAUAGCACCGGUUUUUAUGUUACAUUAUACUAUAUUCUGGAUCUCUCUUUGAUGGUGGGUUAUGGAGAAGGUUUGCCAAUUCUUUCUUUUACAAUUCUUUUUAAAUAAAUCCUCAGAAUUAAGGCCAUUUUAUUAUCUUCUUUUACUUUUAAAUACACACACACACACA